ACAUCUGUUCUACCCCAGAACACACGACCGAAGGCAGAAGAGAAGAAACACACUUAUUGGUGACCUGGAAACCAGGGACGGGCGGUACGGCGGAAAUGAUCUUUACUCGUCAUGGAGGAGCGUCGGAGCUACUCGUCUUACGUGUGUUGAGAUUUGAGUCAUGGUUCUAACUUUAGAACAUCAACGAAUAACCCACAACAAACCCCUUGUAACAGGGUAAAACACCACGACACAACAGCGUCACUAAUAAUUGUACAUUUAUAAACAUUACCCCGCCGAAUUGCAUGCUGGGUACAGCUCACAGCAAGAAGUAACUCGCGAGGGAUACAGGCGGAACAACAACGAGAGACCAGAGCUGCACCCACACAACUUGUGCCCAACAGAGGAGCGGUGUCUGUUUCAGUUUUUUUGUUUGUUUCGCUAAAACGCUAACGAGCUAACAAGCUAACUCGCCGGCCAGUUGCGAGCAAGUUGGCCUCGCGUAGCCUGCCGGUCCUUUUCCGGGGUCAACGAAAGCAACAGCGUCACAUACCGGGAUGCCGUCCCGAUCCUCGGUAAUGGCGUGAUACGGACUUUGGGCCGUGCGGCGCAGCCCUACUGGGAACAUCAGCAUACGUCAACACCGGUUGAUCGAUUUCAUCCCUCCUGACUGCCAGACGUGGUGCACAACGCGUAUCCUCCUCCAUCUCCUGCUCAGCAGGAGGAGUCGUUGCCGCUGGUGAAGCAGGAGAAGGUGGACUGCAAUCUGGACCUGAAGGUGGAGGUCAACAUUAGGGCGGAGUGUGACCUGUCCACCGUGUAGGGUCGCGUCCCUGUGCUGGCCAACGCCAAAUGAAACUCAACGGGUCCGACCCAAACCCGGGACCGGGUGUGGCACAGUCCACCGGACGUCAUCUUGAGGUGUGAGGACGCUUUAAUGGCCUGACCCAGCGGAUAAACGGAAGGCCGCGUUGGACCGGAGGUCUUAAGACGACCGUGAGUGACGGUGGGAACGAGAGAAGCGGUUCCCUCAGAGAGGAGCUCGGCGGGUUGACGCACGGGUCUC
ensembl:lncRNA